rnacentral:rRNA from 1 species
UACGAAGGGGGCUAGCGUUGCUCGGAAUGACUGGGCGUAAAGGGCGCGUAGGCGGAUGGCACAGUCAGAUGUGAAAUUCCCGGGCUUAACCUGGGGGCUGCAUUUGAUACGUGUUGUCUUGAGUUCGGAAGAGGGUCGUGGAAUUCCCAGUGUAGAGGUGAAAUUCGUAGAUAUUGGGAAGAACACCGGUGGCGAAGGCGGCCGGCUGGGGGUGACCUGACGCUGAGGCGCGAAAGCGUGGGGAGCGAACCGG